UACGGGGGGGGCAAGCGUUGUUCGGAAUUACUGGGCGUAAAGGGUUAGUAGGUGGCCAACUAAGUCAGACGUGAAAUCCCUCAGCUUAACUGGGGAACUGCGUCUGAGACUGAUUGGCUCGAGGACAGGAGAGGAACGCGGAAUUCCUGGUGUAGCGGUGAAAUGCGUAGAUAUCGGGAGGAACAUCAGUGGCGAAGGCGGCUACCUGGCCCAAUACUGACACUCAGGUGCGACAGCGUGGGGAGCAAACAGG
rnacentral:rRNA from 1 species